UAUCUCUGUAGAGUCUGCAUAUCAAUAAGCGGAGGAAAAGAAACUAACUAGGAUUCCCUUCAGUAACGGCGAGUGAAGCGGGAAGAGCUCAAAUUUGAAAUCUUCAAGGGUUCUACCUUUACGAAUUGUAGUUUAAAGAAGUGUUUUCUGUUGGAUGUUUUGGUAAAAGUUCUUUGGAAUAGGACAUCAUAGAGGGUGAGAAUCCCGUAUUUGACCAUUAUUUCCAGCUUUGUGAUACACUUUCAAAGAGUCGGAUUGUUUGGGAAUGCAGUCCAAAAUGGGUGGUAAAUUUCAUCUAAAGCUAAAUACUGGCGAGAGACCGAUAGCGAACAAGUACCGUGAGGGAAAGAUGAAAAGAACUUUGAAAAGAGAGUUAAACAGUACGUGAAAUUGUCAAAAGGGAAGCGUUUGACACCAGUGUUGUUUUCUCGAAAAUCAAUUAAAAAAGGCAGGAUUUUGUGUUGUAUUGACUUUAUCAGCUUUCUGCACUCUUUUCUUGUCUUUUUUAAUGCACUUUUCGUUUAACAAGUCAACAUCAAUUUCUUUUGUUGUAAAAGGGUCAUUGGAAGGUGGCUUUCUUUUCGGAGAAAGUGUUUAUAGCCUUUGGCCUCUGCAAUCGGAGAGAUUGAGGUCUGCAGCGUAGAUCCUUCGGGGUUAGAUACAUUUGUGCUAAGUUAUAGCCUUUCAUAGACAACUUGUUGACUAUGAUCAGUCAUGUAGCUUACUCGCUUAUGCUAUUUUACCUACGCUUAGGAUGUUGACGAUCAGCUGAGCGCG
rnacentral:rRNA from 1 species